ACAAAGAAAAGAAAAAAAAAACGUUGGCUGGCUUCCUUCUCUCAUUCUGCUGAAGGCUGAGAGUUGAAGACUCUUGGAAGCUACCAAGCCCAAAUUAACCAAAGACUUGUCUGAUCUGUCAGAGAGUUGCUAUCUUCACUUGGCACUUCUAAAGAUGCUUUGAAUAAUCUUCUAAACAAAAGAAAAAAACUUUUUGUCUUUGUAAACGACUUACCUUAUCACUCUCGAGAUCUCUUAUGCAAGCUACGAGCAAGACUUACAUUUGUGUUACUAAACAUUCGGCUUCAUUUAUUACAAUGAAUUGGUUUAGUAGUUU